GGGAUUGUAGUUCAAUUGGUCAGGGCACCGCCCUGUCAAGGCGGAAGCUGCGGGUUCGAGCCCCGUCAGUCCCG
rnacentral:tRNA from 1 species